UUUAUGGAGAGUUUGAUCCUGGCUCAGGAUGAACGCUGGCGGCGUGCCUAAUACAUGCAAGUCGAGCGAACGGACGAGAAGCUUGCUUCUCUGAUGUUAGCGGCGGACGGGUGAGUAACACGUGGAUAACCUACCUAUAAGACUGGGAUAACUUCGGGAAACCGGAGCUAAUACCGGAUAAUAUUUUGAACCGCAUGGUUCAAAAGUGAAAGACGGUCUUGCUGUCACUUAUAGAUGGAUCCGCGCUGCAUUAGCUAGUUGGUAAGGUAACGGCUUACCAAGGCAACGAUGCAUAGCCGACCUGAGAGGGUGAUCGGCCACACUGGAACUGAGACACGGUCCAGACUCCUACGGGAGGCAGCAGUAGGGAAUCUUCCGCAAUGGGCGAAAGCCUGACGGAGCAACGCCGCGUGAGUGAUGAAGGUCUUCGGAUCGUAAAACUCUGUUAUUAGGGAAGAACAUAUGUGUAAGUAACUGUGCACAUCUUGACGGUACCUAAUCAGAAAGCCACGGCUAACUACGUGCCAGCAGCCGCGGUGGUAAUACGUAGGUGGCAAGCGUUAUCCGGAAUUAUUGGGCGUAAAGCGCGCGUAGGCGGUUUUUUAAGUCUGAUGUGAAAGCCCACGGCUCAACCGUGGAGGGUCAUUGGAAACUGGAAAACUUGAGUGCAGAAGAGGAAAGUGGAAUUCCAUGUGUAGCGGUGAAAUGCGCAGAGAUAUGGAGGAACACCAGUGGCGAAGGCGACUUUCUGGUCUGUAACUGACGCUGAUGUGCGAAAGCGUGGGGAUCAAACAGGAUUAGAUACCCUGGUAGUCCACGCCGUAAACGAUGAGUGCUAAGUGUUAGGGGGUUUCCGCCCCUUAGUGCUGCAGCUAACGCAUUAAGCACUCCGCCUGGGGAGUACGACCGCAAGGUUGAAACUCAAAGGAAUUGACGGGGACCCGCACAAGCGGUGGAGCAUGUGGUUUAAUUCGAAGCAACGCGAAGAACCUUACCAAAUCUUGACAUCCUUUGACAACUCUAGAGAUAGAGCCUUCCCCUUCGGGGGACAAAGUGACAGGUGGUGCAUGGUUGUCGUCAGCUCGUGUCGUGAGAUGUUGGGUUAAGUCCCGCAACGAGCGCAACCCUUAAGCUUAGUUGCCAUCAUUAAGUUGGGCACUCUAAGUUGACUGCCGGUGACAAACCGGAGGAAGGUGGGGAUGACGUCAAAUCAUCAUGCCCCUUAUGAUUUGGGCUACACACGUGCUACAAUGGACAAUACAAAGGGCAGCGAAACCGCGAGGUCAAGCAAAUCCCAUAAAGUUGUUCUCAGUUCGGAUUGUAGUCUGCAACUCGACUACAUGAAGCUGGAAUCGCUAGUAAUCGUAGAUCAGCAUGCUACGGUGAAUACGUUCCCGGGUCUUGUACACACCGCCCGUCACACCACGAGAGUUUGUAACACCCGAAGCCGGUGGAGUAACCUUUUAGGAGCUAGCCGUCGAAGGUGGGACAAAUGAUUGGGGUGAAGUCGUAACAAGGUAGCCGUAUCGGAAGGUGCGGCUGGAUCACCUCCUUUCU
rnacentral:rRNA from 1 species